GCAGUUAAUUAAAGUUGGCUCUCUGACGGGACAUUACUGUGUUUUGACCCUUAUGUAAAUGUAGGUGUAGUCUUUAGUCUCUGAUAUUUCACUAUCAUUACAGAUAUUUACUAUUAUUCCUUUUCUCACUGAUCUCAUUCAUAGUGCAAAAUGUCAGGUAUGAAAGCUGAAAAGGUGUAGCAGCAGUAACUGGGAGGUGGGACUUAAUGAAAUGGGAGCUGCUGUCUGUCUAGGUGGUCAUGUGACUGACUCCUCUGUGUCCUGCAGUCAUCUGAAUACGAGCCCUGAGACAUGGUAACAACUGUUUUUAAAAACAUAAACUACCAACUGUGGAUGACAGAAUUCCUACGUUUGUGGUGCAGGGGAGGUGCUAACUCAGAUGGGGAGGUGCUAACUCAGAUGGGGAGGUGCUUACUCAGAUGGGGAGGUGCUAACUCAGAUGGGGAGGUGCUUACUCAGAUGGGGAGGAACAUUUCCACCAACACAGUGUAAAAUCUGAAGCACAGGGCAGUUCAGGUGGGUCACUGCCGGUUGUCUUGGGUAUUU